CCUCCACUGCCACCUUACCUCCCUCAGGGAACAGCUCAGGUGAGGGAGCAAGCAGCCACGAGGAAAAGCAAGGGCCCCACCCCUUUCUGAGUUCAGGCCCAGGGACCUCUUGAGCAGUAAUGUGGCUGAGUUGGAGGUGUUCCUGCUGCUCGAGAACCAGAAGAAGGAACCCACACAAAAGGCAGAAAUGCUGAAGCAUAUCAUCCAACAGCAAAUGGAUCACUUCCCUGAGGUCCUCAGCAAAGCCUCUGAGAGCCUAGAGUACUCUUUGGCCUUGAGUUGAAUGAGGCGAACACAGAUGCCAGGAAGCAAUGUGACAUCCUCAUCAACAAAGUAGAACUUUCCUCUGCUGAGGGACUGAGUGAGUAAAGACUGGGGCUUGCUCCAAACUGUUAUUCUAGACCUAGUUUUCAUGGAGGGCAACUUUGCUCCUGAAGAGGACAUCUGGAAUAUGCUGAGAGAGUUGAAGAUGCUGAGGGGAAGCACAUCAUUUCUGAAAGUCCCAGAAAGCUUUUCGUUGAAGAUGUUUUGCAGCAACAAUAUCUGAAUUUGAGGCAGAUGCCCAACAGGGAUCCUAUAUGCUACAAAUUUCUGUGGGGCCCUCAUGACCACACUGAACCCAAAACCGUGUACAUUUUGGGGUUUGUGGACAAAAUUAUUCACGUUGACUUCUGGUCCUACAGUUCAGUGUGCAAAGAGGUCCUGAGAGAAAAUCAGGACAAAGUCCAAGCCAGGAUUUCAGGGAAUAGGGGUACUAAUGCCAUGGAGUGUGCAGGGGUCAGGGCCAUUGCCAGUUGUACAACUGGUGCCAGUG
rnacentral:lncRNA from 1 species